UAUUUAUUUUAUACUUUGGGCUAUAAUUGAAUACUGCUAUUUAUUUUGUUGAUCCAUUGUUCCAGCUUUGAUUUUUUUUUUUUUUUAAGAUUUUCAUUUUUAUGGUCUCUCACUUAUCAAAAGGGUGCCACCAUCUUAGCCUAGCACCAUCAAAAUUGGUUGGCUCGAGACUUAAUCUCGUGACAUUGAAGGCUCCCAUUACAUCCUCAUGUUGCAAUUAGUCAUAGAUUUUCUUCUCUGUGUGCUCAACAAUUCACUGAAGUCAAUCCCAUCUCCCUUCCCCAAGACCACUGGUGAUGGUUUCGGACUAUGAUGUGGGGUUCCUAAGGCUGCUUCUGAAAAGCAAAAAUGUAGUGAAAGUUGUAAAGGGCUGAGUGUCUGAUAUUUCAACACUUCAAAAUGAUCUUUGGGAAAGCAGGGAGGAAUGGGGGAAAAAUUCCCGUGAGAUUCCAUUCACUGUUCCCUUGACUUCUUCGAUUUCAGUAGCAAUUGGAGGCUUAAGACAGGUGAUGAAUUUGGUCCAGAGUGAGGUUAGUUGAGAAGGAAAUGAAAACAGAGGUUUAACAGGAAGAUUAGUGGACUUUCUACCUCUGGGCAAUAAAUGUCUGCUUUGGUCCUCACUAAUCAGUUUUCCACAUGCCUCAUGCCAUUUGCCUUACUUAGGAUGAGUUGUUAGAGCUCCAUUAGGAAGUGUUCAAAUCACUGUUUUGAACAGGCUGAGUUUUUUUUUCCGAUGCCCUCCUUUUAACCCACUUCCUUUUUUCUGAGUGUAGGCACACAGAGGCCUGGUCAAGGGGGAAAUUAUGCUGAUUAGGAAGCAUGGUCCAAUUAAAGCAGACAUGAUGGGGAAAUUGCCUUGGAGUCCAAAUAUGUGACUCCAGGAUAGAGAGGCCUCUUUAACACCUGCGAUGAGAGUGUACAAAUUCCAUACCUCACAGCUUGGGGCAGAGAGAAUAGGCAUCUGAUAAAUUUGCUUGUAAAAACUAUUGGAGCCAGCUAAAUAAUAAUACGUCCCUUGACAGGGAGGGAAAACUGUGUGGUUUCCUUUAGUCCUGUGAUGUUUAGAAGACAUCUAAAUAUUAAAGAGGCAGAAAGAGGAAGAUUAGAGAAAGAUGGAGCAUAAAUAGUCCUUAAUUAACUCCCUUCAAAUCUGUAACCUUUUACUUCCAUUCUCUCCCCUCCAUUCCCACCAAAACCUCAGGUUUUCUUGUCCCCCACUUCCCUCAAUUUAUAAUGAGCAUUUAUAUCAUAAGAUCACAACUUUAGCAGUGUUGCAAAUCUAAAAUUAUUUCAGCUUUAGGAGCGAGGAUAGCAGAGGGUCAGGGGACAUAAAGGAGAAAUUGCUCAUUUUGAAAUGCCCUUUGAAGUGCUCCUUGUACCCUCUGUUUAGUUUUGAGAAAGUUUCACAGUAGUUGACAGAUUAUGUAAUCCACUCUCCCACUGAUAAUUUUUUGGCAUGGGGAGAUUGUACAGGUAUUUCGAUUUUAGCCAGUCUCUAGUUAAUAAUCAAUAGUCCUGUUGUCUAAUGAAGUGAUGGCCUUGACACCCUGGCCUUUGUGCAGUGUUAAAAUAACAUUGAUCGCUAUCAUUAUCAUAUGCCCUUGAUACACUGAAUAAGGACUUGGAUAUCAAUCUUGGAGCAAAGUAACAUUUCAUAAAUCUUGUAGAAAGAACCAGGAUUGUCCAAACAGGCAUAUGCUUCUUGACAGCAAUGUGACAGAGCAGUCUAAGACACAGAUAAUUUAUAAUUUAUCUCUAAACUCAGAUUGAAGAAAGACUCAAAAGUAACAUUUCAUGUAAAAAGUGUUUCUUUAUCGGCCAAAGAGGACAAGGGAGCCUUUAGAUUUUCUUUUUUACAGUAGAUAGGAUUGGGCAGGAGGCUCCCAUGGCCCUUCUGGGGUGGAGGGAUGGAGGAAGAGGUGAGUAAUUUCUCUUGGUUAUUUGGAAUGGAAUUUGUAUGGAGAACACUUUGGAACAGGACAGGCUUUCAUUCAGUCCGACUGAGGAGCUGGAUGGAAAAGGAUUUGUUUUUCUAAUAAACUGUUGGUCAGAAUCUCAGAUUUCAAAUUUUUUCACUCACAUUUAAUAUUUUAAUCUCUACAACUAGUUUCUUAUUAAGAAAAAGUAGUUAUCCAGGUGAUUAUUCUGAUUCUCCUAGUAUUAAUGGAUUGAAUUCAUCCUUAUUGCUAGAUAACAAAAGAUAAAAAAUCAGGAAUAUUGGAUCAAAAUUUCAAGAUAAAAUUCUUUCUUUGAUAGCAUUCCUCUUCUAAAACAAUACAUUCAUGGUUCAUAGUCUUUGGUAGGCACUCGCACCGCAAAUACAAAGAGACAUUUGUUCAGAGAAAAAGGCCUCCACCCAAUAAUUUCCCAGCCCAGAAUAGUUACAGAGAGUUGUGUGAAGAUUCUGAGGAUCCGAGUGUAAAUAAUUCACAGCAGUUACAUUUGUGUUACAGAAUUAUCCCUGCACAGUCCACAGCCUUCCAGAAUGAGUAAACAAGAAGAAAGUGUACAACAAGUUCUUGAAAUCUGCUGAAUUCUCAAAUGGAGAAAUUCGCUUAAAGGAGGCAAAGGAGAUCAGGAGUCUCACCCAGGAGGCAGGCAGGAUAUUUGUGGAGGUUACGUUUCAAAGAUCGAGUAAAAGGCGCACCAGCUCUUUCUGAGAGCUUGUUCUCAGAAACCUCGAGGUGGAGAGUGAGAAGGAUGCAUAGAUCUAUGUGCCCACGGGUGGUGCCCAUCUGAAGAGUGACAUUGUUUACUACACUACAAGGCUCCGGGCCUGGUGUCAGAGAUUAUAAACCAAUUUCCAUCCCAGCUCUAAUGCUGGUUUAAUAUCAGAAGAAGAACUUUACUGUGUAAAUAUUAAACAUUUUGUUUAAAUAUUAAGUACCAAAGGUCUUUUCCUUUUGAUUAUUAAAACAGGAAGGGCCCCAACUUUGAAAGAGGUUCCUUGUUGUAUUAAGAAAAUGACUGGUUCUUUACCUGCAGGUUAAUUAUCACUGGCCGGAGACGCAUGCUUGGGCAAAAUGUCAGUUGUCUACUUGUACCGUUGUGAACCUCGAUCCUUAAUAGCUGACCAAGAGUCUGUAUCACUAAUAAUGAGCUUAUAGGAAUUGUGCGUUUUCUGUUACUCGUUAUCCAGGAAGUGAUCUUAUGAUAAUUGACCAAAAAAAGCAGUCUCCUUGCUGGACGCAGGUAGAGCAGGAGAGGGAAUCUCAGGGAAGUGGCUCCUGAGUGACCCAACUUUUGCAUUCCUUGGUUUGAUCAACACCAAACUGCAAAGGAGCUGAUCAUCUGAAGGAUUGACAAGGAAGGAUCCACUGUGAAACAUAUGCUUGUUUGCCCACCUAAGACUGAAAUUAAACCAGGGAAGUGGAAAUUUAUGAAUACCUGUCCCGCAGACAAAUAUUCAAGAUGGAUGCAAACUCUCCACUGAGAGAUUACAUCUUCCACGUAAUUGCAACGGGAGCUACCGUGAGAAUAUCACAAUUCCUCUCAAUCAUGGAAAAAUGAGCUGUGUUUUUUAUUCUGUGGUACACAGGGUUUGCUAGCUUUGUAUCCUUUAUUUUACGCAUUGUCUUUAAAUCCUUGAGUGAGAACAUUCUGCAUCUAUUAGGCAAGUCUGAGACAUCCAGAUGUUGCUCUUAAAUUGAUAGCUCUUGGGUCUGCCUUAUUGAAGUGCUUAUAAGAAGGCAAAUAAACGCUGGUUUUAGGCUUUUGGUAUUCAAAUAAAUUCAACACCCCUAAAUAUGGAAGCGUCUUUAGAAUUCUGUCUGAGAAAGAUGAUGAAACCAGGCAAAUCUCGUUAGAGGAAUGUUUUAGAGCACAGCGGUUUGAUGAGAAAAGGGAAAAGGGCCUCUGCUGAUUUUUUUCCUAGAAUUGUUGAACCUAAUAAUAUUUACAUGUAGAGGGUUGGAUGGUGACAUUACAAAGCAGCUUAUAGGACAUGCGUCAAUUUACCAGUACCUCACAAGCACUUUAAAAAACCCUUUUCAACUAUUUAAUUGAUUAACAUAUGUGGAUAUUGAGCUACUAUUUUUGCCUGACAUUUUGGUGAGCCUUUAGACAUUUAAGGUACAUAUAAAAAGUCGAGGUUAAUUUACUUAAUCCAGUCAGAAAAGUGUUUUACUUAUUAAACUGUUCAAUGGUAGGAAAACAAAUUUGGCUAGCUAAGGUGUGAUCAGAUUUUAUGGGACUUUAGCAACUAGAGAAACGAGGUUGGGAGCAGUACUAUCCUUGAGCUGCGUGAUUUGGGGAGACUUAUGUCACAGUGGUAAGAGGGACAUUUGGUAAGGGGAGAGACUAGGACUGGAGAACCCCACUGGAAGCUAUGGCAGUAGUCCACUCAGAUUAAAAAGGGUUUAGGUUAUUGCGGUAACAGUGGACAUGAACAGGAGAGGUGGUUUCUAGAAAAUUUUAUAUUUGGUGGUUACUAGUAGCUCUUUAAAAAUUAUGUUUCUCAUUAUUUUUCCUCAUAUGAGAGGUAUGGAAAAUGUAACCCCAUGGCCAGAGAAUGAGUCAAGGGUUUGGAAGGCAGGCAUUGUUUUCUUGGUGAGAUUAGUGACACUAUGUGACUUUGGACUUUCUAUACCUUCUGGCUGCCCUGCCCUGGCAUUCAAUAUGACCACAGCAGAUGAUCUAACUACCAGAGAAGACUUUGAACAUGUUUCGAGGUACCUGUGUGAAAGAUUCUUUAGAAUUAAAAGAAUUCUUCUUAAUAUCCAUGGCAAUUUUUUUUUCAUUCCAACCACCCAAAGGUAGGAGGCCAGCUGACAUUUUGAGUCAAAACUCAUACAUUGUUAACCUUUUAAACAUUAGUUUGCCUUUUCCUCAUUUGUGUGUCAUUUGUUAGUAUCCUUCAAAAAUUUCCUUUUUGAAAGAUUUAGACUGCUCCUUAUUUAAUUUGGUAGUUCAAUUAAAUAUGAUUCCAUUUCCAAUGCCUACUUUAGCGAAAUCUUUGAGAUCCCUCCUUAGUUGAGAUUUCUUUAGUCUUAGGGUGCUAUUUUCCAAGUACGAAUAUACUUUAAAUUGUGAGGAACUUUUUAUGGUUAAGAAUGUUCACAGUGACUAUAGUUAAUAAUAUUGUAUUUUAUAUAUGAAAGUUGCUGGGAGAGUAAAUCUUUAAAGUUCUCAUCAUAAGAAAAAACAUCAUAGCUAUGUAUGGUGACGGAUAUAACUAGACUUAUUGUGGUGAUCAUUUUGCCAUUUAUACGAAUGUCGAAUCAUAAUGUUGUAUACCCGAAACUAAUAUAAUUUAUAUGUCAAUUAUAUCUCAAUAAA